AUUGAACGCUGGCGGCAGGCCUAACACAUGCAAGUCGAGCGAGCGGCGGACGGGUGCGUAAUGUAUGGGGACUGCCCGAUAGAGGGGGAUAACUACUGGAAACGGUGGCUAAUACCGCAUACUAUCGGAUAACCCAUAUGGGAUUCGCUAGUAGGUGGGGAAAAGGCUCACCUAGGCGACGCUCACUAGCUGGUCUGCGAGGAGGAUCGGCCACACUGGGACGGGGAAACGGCCCAGACUCCUACGGAGGCGGCAUUGGGGAAUAUUGGACAAUGGGCGAAAGCCUGCUGCAGCCAGGCCGCGUGUAUGAAGAAGGCCUUAGGGUGUUAAAGUCCGUUCAGCGGGGAGGCGUUACCCGCAGAGGAAGCACCGGCUAACUCCGUGCCAGCAGCCGCGGUAAUAC
rnacentral:rRNA from 1 species